UACAUAGGGACCAAGCGUUGUUCGGAUUUACUGGGCGUAAAGGGCGCGUAGGCGGCGUGGUAAGUCACUUGUGAAAUCUCUGAGCUUAACUCAGAACGGCCAAGUGAUACUGCUGUGCUAGAGUGCAGAAGGGGCAAUCGGAAUUCUUGGUGUAGCGGUGAAAUGCGUAGAUAUCAAGAGGAACACCUGAGGUGAAGACGGGUUGCUGGGCUGACACUGACGCUGAGGCGCGAAAGCCAGGGGAGCAAACGGG
rnacentral:rRNA from 1 species